rnacentral:rRNA from 1 species
CAGUCGCCGCGGGAAUACAGAGGGUGCGAGCGUUAAUCGGAUUUACUGGGCGUAAAGCGUGCGUAGGCGGCUUCUUAAGUCGGAUGUGAAAUCCCUGAGCUUAACUUAUGAAUUGCAUUCGAUACUGGGAAGCUAGAGUAUGGGAGAGGAUGGUAGAAUUCCAGGUGUAGCGGUGAAAUGCGUAGAGAUCUGGAGGAAUACCGAUGGCGAAGGCAGCCAUCUGGCCUAAUACUGACGCUGAGGUACGAAAGCAUGGGGAGCAAACAGGAUUAGAUACCCCAGUAGUCCCUGUCUCUUAUAC